rnacentral:rRNA from 1 species
ACACAGGUGGUCGGGUAGAGAAUACCAAGGCGCUUGAGAGAACUCGGGUGAAGGAACUAGGCAAAAUGGUACCGUAACUUCGGGAGAAGGUACGCUCUUGAUGGUGAAGUCCCUUGCGGAUGGAGCUGACGAGAGUCGCAGAUACCAGGUGGCUGCAACUGUUUAUUAAAAACACAGCACUGUGCAAAAUCGUAAGAUGACGUAUACGGUGUGACGCCUGCCCGGUGCCGGAAGGUUAAUUGAUGGGGUUAGACUUCGGUCGAAGCUCUUGAUCGAAGCCCCGGUAAACGGCGGCCGUAACUAUAACGGUCCUAAGGUAGCGAAAUUCCUUGUCGGGUAAGUUCCGACCUGCACGAAUGGCGUAAUGAUGGCCACGCUGUCUCCACCCGAGACUCAGUGAAAUUGAAAUCGCUGUGAAGAUGCAGUGUACCCGCGGCUAGACGGAAAGACCCCGUGAACCUUUACUACAGCUUGGCACUGAACAUUGACCCUACAUGUGUAGGAUAGGUGGGAGGCUUUGAAGCAUGUACGCUAGUAUGUGUGGAGCCGUCCUUGAAAUACCACCCUUGUAGUGUUGAUGUUCUAACGUCGACCCCUUAUCGGGGUUGCGGACAGUGCCUGGUGGGUAGUUUGACUGGGGCGGUCUCCUCCCAAAGAGUAACGGAGGAGCACGAAGGUGGGCUAAUCACGGUUGGACAUCGUGAGGUUAGUGCAAUGGCAUAAGCCCGCUUGACUGCGAGAAUGACAAUUCGAGCAGGUGCGAAAGCAGGUCAUAGUGAUCCGGUGGUUCUGAAUGGAAGGGCCAUCGCUCAACGGAUAAAAGGUACUCCGGGGAUAACAGGCUGAUACCGCCCAAGAGUUCAUAUCGACGGCGGUGUUUGGCACCUCGAUGUCGGCUCAUCACAUCCUGGGGCUGAAGUCGGUCCCAAGGGUAUGGCUGUUCGCCAUUUAAAGUGGUACGCGAGCUGGGUUUAGAACGUCGUGAGACAGUUCGGUCCCUAUCUGCCGUGGGCGUUGGAAGAUUGAAGGGGGCUGCUCCUAGUA